UACGAAGGGGGCUAGCGUUGUUCGGAAUCACUGGGCGUAAAGCGCACGCAGGCGGAUUGAUAAGUCAGGGGUGAAAUCCCGGAACUCAACUUCGGAAUUGCCUUUGAUACUGUCUGUCUUGAGUCCGGGAGAGGUGAGUGGAAUUCCUAGUGUAGAGGUGAAAUUCGUAGAUAUUAGGAAGAACACCAGUGGCGAAGGCGGCUCACUGGCCCGGUACUGACGCUCAUGUGCGAAAGCGUGGGGAGCAAACAGG
rnacentral:rRNA from 1 species